AUUGAACGCUGGCGGCAUGCUUUACACAUGCAAGUCGAACGGUAACAGGCCUUCGGGUGCUGACGAGUGGCGAACGGGUGAGUAAUGCAUCGGAACGUACCCAGAGGUGGGGGAUAACGCAGCGAAAGCUGUGCUAAUACCGCAUGUCAUCUGAGGAUGAAAGCGGGGGACCGAGCAGCAAUGUUUGGCCUCGCGCCUUUGGAGCGGCCGAUGUCGGAUUAGCUAGUUGGUGGGGUAAAGGCCUACCAAGGCGACGAUCCGUAGCUGGUCUGAGAGGACGACCAGCCACACUGGGACUGAGACACGGCCCAGACUCCUACGGGAGGCAGCAGUGGGGAAUUUUGGACAAUGGGCGCAAGCCUGAUCCAGCAAUGCCGCGUGCGGGAAGAAGGCCUUCGGGUUGUAAACCGCUUUUGGCAGGAACGAAACGGUGUCCGCUAAUACCGGGCGCUAAUGACGGUACCUGCAGAAUAAGCACCGGCUAACUACGUG
rnacentral:rRNA from 1 species